GAUGAAUAACGCAGCGAAAUGCGAUAAGUAAUGUGAAUUGCAGAAUUCAGUGAAUCAUCGAAUCUUUGAACGCACAUUGCGCCCCUUGGUAUUCCGAGGGGCAUGCCUGUUCGAGCGUCAUUACACCACUCAAGCUAUGCUUGGUAUUGGGCGUCGUCCUUAGUUGGGCGCGCCUUAAAGACCUCGGCGAGGCCACUCCGGCUUUAGGCGUAGUAGAAUUUAUUCGAACGUCUGUCAAAGGAGAGGAACUCUGCCGACUGAAACCUUUAUUUUUCUAGGUUGACCUCGGAUCAGGUAGGGAUACCCGCUGAACUUAAGCAUAUCAAUAAGCGGAGGA
rnacentral:misc_RNA from 1 species